rnacentral:misc_RNA from 1 species
GUGAAUCAUCAAAUUUUUGAACGCAAAUUGCACUCUCCUCUGAGAGUAUGCCUGUUUGAGGUUCAGCCUAUAAAAAAUCUACAUCGUUGCUGUUUUGCGGUUGCGUUCGUCGGAAAUUUGGUCAUCUUAGAUCUUGUGGUUUUACGCGACUUAAUAUUUUCUCUUUGGUUCCAUGAACGUUUUUAAGUUUUAUUUCUUUACACUUUUAAGGUAUCGAUUUUUAUUAGACGUGACCAUCAUAUCGGAUCGUGCCCGUAAUCUU